GACAGAGGUGCCAAGCGUUAGGCGGAAUCACUGGGCUUAAAGCGUGUGUAGGCGGAUCGUUAAGUACCUUGUGAAAUCCCACGGCUCAACCGUGGAACUGCUGGGUAUACUGGCGAUCUUGAGCCACCUAGGGGCGAGCGGAACAAACGGUGGAGCGGUGAAAUGCGUAGAGAUCAGGAGGAACACCCAUGGCGAAGGCAGCUCUCUGGCUUCACCCUGACGCUGAGGCGCGAAAGCGUGGGGAGCGAACAGG
rnacentral:rRNA from 1 species